rnacentral:lncRNA from 1 species
GUCAUCGACGAGAAGGUAGACUUCCUUAUGACUGCUCGAGGUGGUCACGCUCAGUACUCUCGUUCUCAACGAAUAUCUGUACUCUCACUCCGAUGUCUCCACACCAUAGACUCAAGACACAUCUACCCUAAGGAAGCAAUCGUACACCAACCUUCCGAAUCGAUCACCAUCCUCGUGAUGAUCCUAUGGUUAGGAGCUGUUUAUGAGUUAGUUAUGUAAAUUCAUACCUUAAAUUUUCA